AUGGUUCAAAAUAGUCUCUCUUUCCUGAGGGCUAAAGUACACCAGUACAUGGGACAGAAUUCAGAACUCUGCGGAAGAGCUGCUGUCCUGAGAGCUGAUGUCACAUCGCUGUGGCAUAGAACAUGGGGCUGGGCAGUGGCUGUGCUUCAAAAGCAAGUUCUUCAACCUUGGAUCUUAAUUCCUUCUAACAAGGGUGCCUAUGACAUGCUUGACGUCAAGAUCCUGAUUGCCAUUGGUGGCAGCUUAUUGAUUGUCACAAUUGUGCUGAUGGCUGUGGUCCUCUGUCUUUACUACAAACUAUUCCGCACAUUAAAGGCUUCCAAGGCGUCUGUUCCUCAGGCCACCAGCAGUAAUAAUCAAAUCACAAAGACCCAGGCCACAGUCUCCACUGAGUCCUAUCCCAGCCUCAAGUGCUAUGACCAGUGCAAAGCGUGUAUCAACUACAAUCCCCCGCCACCGUGCUACUAUGAUAUAAACGAGGGACUCUGACUUGGGUGGACACAAAUACCUUCAUGUGCAGUAUUUCUUUUCCAGUAGAAUUUAUUAUUCAAGUCAGGGUCAAGUAGUGUUUACAUCAUAUUAUGUGCUAUUUAACAUUAUAUUUAUGUACUUCUGAAUAAAUGUGCAAUACUGAAAACA
rnacentral:lncRNA from 1 species